GACGAACGCUGGCGGCGUGCUUAACACAUGCAAGUCGAACGCUGAAGCUUGGUGCUUGCACUGGGUGGAUGAGUGGCGAACGGGUGAGUAAUACGUGAGUAACCUGCCCUUGACUCUGGGAUAAGCCUGGGAAACUGGGUCUAAUACUGGAUACGACAUGUCACCGCAUUGUGGUGUGUGGAAAGGGUUUUACUGGUUUUGGAUGGGCUCACGGCCUAUCAGCUUGUUGGUGGGGUAAUGGCUCACCAAGGCGACGACGGGUAGCCGGCCUGAGAGGGUGACCGGCCAAACUGGGACUGAGACACGGCCCAGACUCCUACGGGAGGCAGCAGUGGGGAAUAUUGCACAAUGGGCGGAAGCCUGAUGCAGCGACGCCGCGUGAGGGAUGACGGCCUUCGGGUUGUAAACCUCUUUCAGCACGGAAGAAGCGAAAGUGACGGUACGUGCAGAAGAAGCGCCGGCUAACUACGUG
rnacentral:rRNA from 1 species